ensembl:Y_RNA Y_RNA Y RNA
GGCUGGUGCAAAUGCAGUGGUGUUCACAAGUAAUUGAUCACAGCCAGUUACAGAUUUCUUUGUUUCUUCUCCACUCCCACUGCUUCACUUGACCAGCCUUAA